GCUCCCAUCGUCUAGAGGUCCAGGACACCGCCCUCUCACGGCGGAGACAGGGGUUCGAUUCCCCUUGGGAGUACCA
rnacentral:tRNA from 1 species